rnacentral:lncRNA from 1 species
ACAAAUUUCACGAUUUGUAAAGCCAUCUAUCUAAACAAGGCCAUAUUACACUCAAUAGUCCUUAAGGUUGUUUGAUAUAAUAUUGAGCUUGUCAGAUUAGUUUUCAAUUUGAUAAAUACAUUUUGAAUGCCUUCGUUGAGAGCUCAUAAUAGAAAAUGAUUUAAAAGUCUUCCCACGUACAUUUUACUCUCGACGAAUAUUAUCUCUGUCCUUACUACUGUUAAAUAUAGUCUUGGAAUAUUGCUAAGACGUUUACCCUAUCAAGUCAAUUAAAUAAAGAUUUUUUUUCUAAUUCAAUCGGACGGAUACACCUUUCAACUUCAUACAACAUAUCAGCGGCUUGUGUUAUCAUUUCGAGUAUUAAACUAAUAACAAGUUAGAAGAGUCUUGAACAAACACAAUUUUAGAUUUUCAGCUGUGUGUGAGGAAUGAAAAGCAUGUUUCAUCUACACCACCACCAUGUUCACUGAUUCUCAAAUCAUAAAAACGUUAAAAAAUGCCAUAUUAAAUACGACUUUGAAGAGCGUUACGGUCCAAAAAUGUCCCGCGAAAAAAAAUAAUGUGUUUUUAACAAAGGUUUAAAUAUUACAGCACCAUAUAUUGAAGACCUAAACCAUACAAUUUUAUUUAAUAAGAUAGAAAAGAUCAAUGACGUUAAAAAAUGGUAAGAUGUAAUAGUUCAUUAUGCUUUGUAACUUCUUGUAAUAUACUUGUUGUUCUCUUUAUUCAUUAUUUAUGUUGCAGAUUUCUG